CCUACGGGAGGCAGCAGUGGGGAAUAUUGGGCAAUGGGCGCAAGCCUGACCCAGCAACGCCGCGUGAAGGAAGAAGGCUUUCGGGUUGUAAACUUCUUUUGUCAGGGAAGAGUAGAAAACGGUACCUGACGAAUAAGCCACGGCUAACUACGUGCCAGCAGCCGCGGUAAUACGUAGGUGGCAAGCGUUGUCCGGAUUUACUGGGUGUAAAGGGCGUGUAGGCGGGUUGACAAGUCAGAUGGGAAAUCCUGCGGCUUAACCGCAGAACUGCAUUUGAAACUGUUGAUCUUGAGUACUGGAGAGGCAGACGGAAUUCCUAGUGUAGCGGUGAAAUGCGUAGAUAUUAGGAGGAACACCAGUGGCGAAGGCGGUCUGCUGGACAGCAACUGACGGUGAGGCGCGAAAGCGUGGGGAGCAAACAGGAUUAGAUACCCUAGUAGUC
rnacentral:rRNA from 1 species